UUUCUGUCUGCCUCUCAUUGGCAAACAUGACAUUUCAGCAAUUUCUCUAAAGAGGAAUGACUGGGGGGUAUGUACAGCAGGCAUCAUGUAAGAAAAACUCACACCUCACGACAUAUUUGUUUGAUUUAUUCAGCAGACUUCAGCAAAGGAAAGAUGUGAAAGCAACCCUUGAUUGUUGAUUUUUUGUUCAUUCUGAAAAUCACAUCGCCAGAUCCAACACCUUUUUAUCCCAAUCACCAGUACAAGCCACCCGUAUCAGUGUACACUGUGGCUGACCGAUCCAUAGUGAUGCUUUGAGCACAAGGAAGGACUUUCUGGAAUCUACUUAUCUGACCAAGAAAGCUUCUUUCCAAAAGAAAUGCAAUUGUCUUGAGACUUCUUCCCUAGGGAUCUGAUCAACUAACCAGAAAAGAGCAACCACCAGAGAAGAGACUGUGGGUGUCAUUGUGACUGGCUGCUACCUCCCCAUGAGUCUUCUAAAAUAAAACCUGCAAAUUCACAUCUUCCCCAUGCUUCCAGAGAAUGCAUAUUCUUCCUUUGAAAAAAGAAAACCAGGUAGUCGUACAGUGUCCAGAAGGCAAAAGGACAAGUAUGCACUGCCCUACUUACCUACUUUCCACACUGCUGCACAGGAAAAUCUGACAGAGGACAAUAACAAACAUCUCACCAGCUCAUGCGUUCUUUUUUGAUCCUAAUUCCGAGAGACUCACCAAAGACAUGAAGAGAAAACAAACAAUACUUUUCUUGGAAAUAUUGUAAUUGCUGGUACAUUUGUUGUUCUGGCAUAAAGUAGAAAUUGUCAGUUACCAGAACAAUACUCAGUGAACUUAUGAAUAUAUGGUAAAUAUUAAACACAUCCCACUUGGAUGAGAAGAUAUGUGAGUCGAUGAGUAUAGCUAAGUCUAAAGUUAGAUGUGUUCCAUAAACAUAGUGUUUAUGGAGUUGGUGCAUAUUCAC
rnacentral:lncRNA from 1 species